AGAGGACAGUGACUGGGAUCAUAGCUAGGUAGGAAGCUUCCUUUCAGAGGUCAAGCUAAAAAGAAAGAGCCUGAGAAUCCUGAGGAAGACGCACUUGAGGUGGACCAUGAACCAUCUUCCUGAACCUGGUGAAGAAAAUAUUUCCCGGGAAAAGGGCGUCUGCCGAUAGAACCUCAAAUACAAGUUUCUGCAGAUCCUGAUUGAGUCCUGAGUCAGCCAUGUCACCGUGAGAACAUUCUGAACACUUAUAUCAUGUGUUCAGUCACUUCGUAACAUCACACAAUAUUGUUUGUGUACAUAAUUAUGAAUUUUUGUUAACAAUUGUUAUUUGUGGGGUGGUGGUUGGUUGCUAGGCAACAAUGAUGAUUCCAUGAAUGCGACAGGUCCGGUUCUACCUGUGGAACUUUGUUACAAGUGUUUUUAAUAUACGGUUCAUGAGUUAUAAAUUUUUUAAACAAAA